ACGGGGUGCAGCAGGCGCGAAACCUUUACACUGCACGCCAGUGGAUAGGGGGACACCGAGUGCGUAGGCAUAGAGCCUACGCUUUUGUGUACCGUAAGUGGUACACGAAUAAGGGCUGGGCAAGACCGGUGCCAGCCGCCGCGGUAACACCGGCAGCCCGAGUGAUGGCCGAUAUUAUUGGGCCUAAAGCGUCCGUAGCUGGCUGCGCAAGUCCGUCGGGAAAUCCACUCGCCCAACGAGUGGGCGUCCGACGGAAACUGCACAGCUUGGGACCGGAAGGCUCGAAGGGUACGUUCGGGGUAGGAGUGAAAUCCCAUAAUCCCGCACGGACCACCGAUGGCGAAAGACUUCGAGAAAACGGAUCCGACAGUGAGGGACGAAAGCCAGGGUCUCCAACCGGAUUAGAUACCCGGGUAGUCCUGGCCGUAAACAAUGUUCGCUAGGUAUGACACAGACUACGCGUCUCUGUUGUGCCGUAGGUAAGCCGAGAAGCGAACCGCCUGGGAAAGUACGUCUGCAAGGAUGAAACUUAAAGGAAUUGGCGGGGGAGCACGGG
rnacentral:rRNA from 1 species